UACGUAGGUGGCAAGCGUUGUCCGGAUUUAUUGGGUUUAAAGGGUGCGUAGGUGGUCUAUUAAGUCAGUGCUGAAAUAUCCCGGCUUAACCGGGAGGGUGGCAUUGAUACUGAUGGACUUGAGUAAAGUUGAGGUGGGCGGAAUUGACGGUGUAGCGGUGAAAUGCGUAGAUAUCGGGAGGAACACCUGUGGCGAAGGCGGCCCCCUGGUUGGAUACUGACGCUGAUACGCGAAAGCGUGGGGAGCAAACAGG
rnacentral:rRNA from 1 species